UACGUAGGGGGCUAGCGUUGUCCGGAAUCAUUGGGCGUAAAGCGCGUGUAGGCGGUCCGGUAAGUCCGCUGUGAAAGUCGGGGGCUCAACCCUCGAAUGCCGGUGGAUACUGUCGGGCUAGAGUGCGGAAGAGGCGAGUGGAAUUCCUGGUGUAGCGGUGAAAUGCGCAGAUAUCAGGAGGAACACCAAUGGCGAAGGCAGCUUGCUGGGACGGUACUGACGCUGAGGCGCGAAAGCGUGGGGAGCAAACAGG
rnacentral:rRNA from 1 species